GCUUUGGUGGUAUAGUGGCAAACAUAACUACCUUUCGAGCAGAUUACCUGGGUUUGAUUCCCGGCCAAUCUA